rnacentral:lncRNA from 1 species
UGAAUCGGAGCUGUAGCCGCUGGCCUACACCACAGCCACAGCAACACGGGAUCCGAGCCGCAUCUGCGACCUACACCACAGCUCAUGGCAACGCUGGAUCCCUAACCCACUGAGCAAUGCCAGGGAUCCAACCCACAACCUCUUGGUCCCUAGUCAAAUUCAUUAACCACUGCGCCAUGACGGGAACUCAGAGAAGACGUGGUGUGUAGGUAUAGAAUGGAGUAUUAUUUAGCCCUGAGAAGGAAGGAAAGAGGGCCAUUCCCAAUGACCCGGACAAACCUAGAGGACAUUAUGCUAAGUGAAAUUAGUUGGACAGAGAAAGACAAAUACUGUAGCGUUUCACGCAUACAAGAAGUCUAAAAAAGUUGGAUUCUAGAAAGAGAGUAGAAUGGAGGUAACCAGGGGUCAGGAAGGGGGGAGAGGGAGGAGCUGGUCGCAGGGUACGCGUCUGCAGUUAGGAGACGAGUAGCUCUGGAGAGCUCGUGUUCAGCUUGGUGACUGGAGUUAAGACUGUGCUGUUUACUUGAAGGUUGCCAAGAAAGUAAAGCUGCAGUGUUAUCACCACCAAAAGAAGGUUCUGGGGAGUGGAUGUGUGGCAAUGCUAAUUGCGGUGAUCAUGUCACAAACGCACGUGUCAUAUCAUCUUGCUGUACACUGUAAACAGGUGCAGUUUUAUUUGUCAAUCCUACCUCACUGUAGCAGAACAAAGGUUACAAAAAUCUUGAAACUGCAGACCCCGAGUAGCUGGUUUUGAGGAUUUCAUGGCUAUCAUCUCCAUUUUGUCUCUAAAAAGACAGUUGGUGGCGGCGGGGGGAGGGGGGUGUUUGGCAUUUUGGUUUUUUUGGUUUUUUGGCUGGACUGUGGUAUUUGGAAGUUCCCAGGCCAGGGAUAGAACCUGAGCUACAGCUGUAACCUGGGCUACAGCAGUGAUAAUAACUUCUGGGUCUUUAAUUGGCUGAGCCACCAGGGAACUCCAAAACAGAGUUUUAGAAAUGCGUAAACAUAUAAAAGGAAACCCCAGGGAGUUCCUGUUGUGACUUAGCCAUAACGAACCCCAUUAGUAUCCAUGAGGACGCAGGUCCGAUCCUUGGCCUUGCUCUGUAGGUUAAGGAUCCCAUGUUGCUGCGGCUGUGGUGCAGGCCAGCAGGGGCAGCGCCAUUCGACUCCUAGCCUGGGAACAUCCAUAAGCCACAGAUGUGGCCCUAAAAAGACAAAAAAGGGAAACUCCAAAACUGUGUGCACCACACAGCUCCCCGAUGUGAGUUCACCACAGGAGACUGCCUUCCUACUCGCCAGGGAAUGAGUGUCCCUCCCGGUUUGCCAAAGCCACCCACGGUCCGCCGAGGCUCCUGGCCGAGCCCAGCAAGGACCUGCUCCCCUGCAGUUCAUGGGACGGCUCGUUGGUUUAGGCCAGACACCAGAGAGCAGAAGCUGGGGUAAAAUCAGAGUAGGUGCGUCACGAAAACAGCAGAUGAACCAGAAAAGAAAACCUGCGGCGAAUAAUCCAGUGACGGGGUCACGCUCCCUGCGGAAAGGUGCUCAGCUUCUCCCCUUCCCCUGCCGCCACCCUAAGCGCACUCCGAUCCUCUCUGAUUUUUGGACCCUGCAGCAUUUGUGGUUGGUUCCCUGUCCUGGUCUCUUUCUUCCCUCUUCUCAUCCUCUCGCUGCUGCAUUUGUGCUCAGGAGAAAGUAAAACCCAGGCGCGUGCGCACACACACACACACACACACACACACACACACACACACACACAUCCGAUAUAGCAUCAUGCCUGCCGCGCUUCCCCGUCAUCCACGAGGUCCAAGUUUCUACCUGGCAUCCCAGGCCCACCCCGAGCGGGUCCAGCCUGCUUCCCAACCUCAUCGCUCACUCUUGGACACCGUGCAACGCGGCGAGAAUCUCCCCCCGCCUUUCUCCGAGUCCGGCCCUCAGCCCUAGACCUGGCCUUCUGGAGUGUGCGUGCCCAAAGCCCCAGCCCUGCUGACUCAGAGCCUCUCCACAAGCCCUGGAGGCAACUUUUAGGUGCUCGGAGCUGCGGGCUGCUCCUCUGAAGUCUCCCCACUCGGUGCCUCGGUCUCACCCGCGGGCACCUCCUCCGUCUCUGUUCAGACAGCAGCCUCUCCUUCUCAAGCCCAGGAAACCGCUUCCCUCUCUGCCUCCCCUUAGCGCUUGCCGCAGACUUGUCAUAACACAGCUCUGUCUGCAGAUGCUCCGUCUCUGCGGCUGGAUUACAAACUCCUCGCGAUGAGGAAGCUCCGUCCCCUCGAGUAACUGCACCUUCUCUCUGUUUCCACGACGGAAACCCGUCUCUGGCCGCGUCCCCCGCUCCCCGUGGCCGCUGAGCGCGCUUGGCGUCAGACUCACAGCUCAAGUGUCACCAUUACCAAGGCUGUCCUUGGCCAUGGAUCCAGGCGCUUUUUCCCCCUGGAUGUGACCUAUUUUAAUUUCUAUUGGCUUUGCCCAGUUUAAAAACCCAUAUGUGGCCAUUUAUUUUAUAUGUUUCUGCUGCCAGCUGCCUCAGAUCCUUUCUGGAAGAAGGUGAGGGAGCUAAAUUAUUCAUCUCAGGCUUCUCACCACCCAGGACAGCGUCUGACAGGUAGAAAAUGCUCCAUAACUGUUGGUUAAAUUUAAUCAAAGGCAUAAAGUUAUGUGGGGUCCGUGACAGCGAUUUGACUCCUCGCUUGGAGGACUUUUUUGCUCACUCCUGGUUUUAUCACGGAGCUCCAGCGCUGACACUGCUGGAGGAGGGCCUGAGGGACACGUGCCUGUUGCUGCACAAAAUCCACUUGAUCUCGGCCACCCAAUUCGAUCAAUUUUCUACCUUGAUCUGGGCGCGCCCUGUUUUGGGAACUUGGGCUGCCCAUCAACACUGUAAUCUGGGAUUCAUCUUUUUGUUUGUCUGUUUGUUUGUUUGUUUAGGGCCACACCCAUGGCAUAUGGAGGUUCCCAGGCUCGGGGUCGAAUCAGAGCUGUGGCUGCCGGCCUACACCACAGCCACAGCAACGCCAGAUCUGAGCCAUGGUCUGCAACCUACACCACAGCUCACGCAACGCCGGAUCCUGAACCCACUGAGCAAGGCCGGGGAUCGAACCCGACACCUCGUGGUUCCUAGUCGGUUUCGUUUUCACCGCGCCAUGACGGGCACUCUCUGUGAUUAAUCUUAAAAGAUGGUGAACAGGGAGAAAUGUGCCGAGAUCGGGAAGGAAGCCGUCUCAGGGAAGGGGAGGGAAAGGGUUCAGAUGAGAGGGCACAGCAUGGAGCCCAGACUGAGGACAGGGUGCUGAGAUGAGGACACGAGCGGAGUAAACAGCACGUGUAGGAGCCACCGGGAGAAGAAGGAUUCUUGUGUCCUGGGAGUUCCCGCUGUGGUGCACCAGGUUAAGGACCCAGUGUUGUCUGGGUGGUGGAGAGGGUUUAACUUCCAGCUGGCGCAAUGGGUUAAGGGUCUGGCGUUGUGGCCGCUGUGGCGCACCCAUGUGCCAUGCGUGGGGGAAAAAAAAAUCCUUGUGUCCUGAAGACACACCCCUGUCAUAUCUCCAAGUCCUGCUGGAAAGAUGAGCAUGCUCAAGCAGCGUUGAAAACGUCAACUUCAGAUAAUAAAACUUUGAAGAGAUACGGAGAAAAUCCUUGAGAAAGGAAAAAAAUGUCACUUUUUAUACUCAUUUUUUUUUUUAAAAAAUUACAUCUAAUAUUUCCUUAAGAAAAGCCAUCUUUUCCAUCGUGGCGCAUCAUGUCUGAGGAAAUGACAGCAGCACCCUAGUCUAUAUAAAUUGGAGAUUUUCUUCCCGAGGAAACACAUGAACAUGUGUAGUCUUGACUUUCUGUUGUCACCUCAACUAUCUAAACAAGCCCCUCAUGCUUUCGGUUAGUUAUUUUCAAAGCAUCAUUCAAUUGGAAUUUUUUUCCUUUGAAGAAAAAUAAAGGGACGCUAACCUAUCAACUGUUAUACAGCCGCUGCCGCCGUAUAAAACCACAAGUCUCAUUUAAAUUUGCUUCCAACGUCUUUGUUUCAAUCAAAAAUAUCAAUUCAAUGUGUUGUCUCCAUGAAAACCUAGAGAAUCUGGGAUGAUUCUUUGAACAAGAUAAAAGAAAGGUGUUGCUAUUAAAUAGAAUAAAAAUGGAAAGUUUGUCAAAACGAAUUUGCUUACAUUGCUACCAUGCGCCAUGAGAGAUGACAGAAAUCCUGGUGGAUUAUAACAAAAUACGGCUCUUGCCCCAAAAACGAAAUUAACGGAGGAACCAGGAGUUACCCUUUGGGCUCUCUGGUUGGUGUGUGUUGUCCCAGGCGGCGACCUGUCAGCACUGGCUCGAAGUUUGCUCUCAGCCUCAGAGGAUUAUGGGUCCAGGGCGGGGCUGUCACCCAGUGGACCUGGUUAACCUGGGGUCUGAGGUCGGCUGGCAGGGGAUAUUAGAUUAGGAUCAGAGUCAAGCGUGUGUGCCAGUCCCUCAAGAGCAGAGGUGCCUUCUGCUCAGCUGCCGCCGAGUUGAAACUCAGGCAGGUUUCUACUUUGUCAUCCGCAGCUUCAGCCAAUGGCACCCAUCCCCUCAUUAUUAAUUUUUUUCUUUUUAGGGCCGAACCUGCGGCCUACGGAGGUUCCCAAUUGGAGCCGCAGCGGCCGGCCUACACCACAGCCAAAGCAACACCAGAUCCUUAACCCACUGAGUGAGGCCAGGGAUCGAACCUACAUCCUCACGGAUACCAAUCAGGUUCUUAAACCUCUCUAUUCACCUUUUUCCAUCCUGGAGUUGUGAUGGGAUCCUGACCCUCCUUCUCAUUUCAAAGUCACUGCAGAUUAAAAUGUCCUGAAAAGAUUAGGAGGGGAUGUGACCUGGCAGAAUGCAGCCUGCAUCUCAGCCUCAGUAAGGGCGGGGCCUCCCUAAGGCAGAUGAAGACGUGCGGUUACAAGAUCAGGGCUUUUGCUGCUGCUGAGAUAAAGCACCUGUUGGAGGAAGAAGCCUCUCUCUGGACUGACAGAGCAGAGCUCACCAAGACCGGAGCUCCUCACACCCAGGGCCGGGACCCCCAGCCUCCCCCGGGCCCCUCCACCUCCCUCUCCUGGUAGCAGGCAAGGCUCCAGACGCCUUGUUUGCCUAAGCGAUUGUUACUUUGAAUCAAGACUGUCGCCUCUUCUCCCCAGGUGCACUCUCGAUGGGGAGGUCGGGCAUCACUGUCAGUCUGAAGAUGAGCCAAGGGAAAUCAGGAGGGCGAAGCUCAUCGAGAGAGUCCCCACUGCAGCCACACUUGGCAUCUUAUCUCAGCAUCACAGGUGCACCGAGAGCUUCCCUGAGGGCCCUGCUUGAACGCUUUCCAACGUCUCGAGCACAGGCACAACCCAGGAGUGUGCCAGCCUCUUUCCCAGCUCUGAAAUUAGAUGUAGUCGCUUGCCCAGAUGUUUAUUUUAGAGGUGGUUUUGUAGGGAGCCUUUCUGCUAAAAUAGGCUUUAUCCUCGCAAUUAUUUUCACUCUGGGGACCCUUCUUUGCUUUUGGAUGAUAGUGUUUGUUCUCUAAUCUUAAGCAUCCUAGACUUUAAUAAAAUCAUG